UACAUGUGGGGCAAGCGUUGUUCGGAAUUACUGGGCAUAAAGGGUGCGUAGGUGGUUUGUUGAGUCACUGGUGAAAGUUUGCGGCCCAACCGUAAAAUUGCCUGUGAUACUGGCGAACUUGAGUGCGUGAGGGAUGGGGGGAACGAGCAGUGUAGCGGUGAAAUGCGUAGAUAUUGCUCGGAAGGCCGGAGCCGAAGGGGCCCCAUUGGUACGUAACUGACGCUGAGGCACGAAAGCGUGGGGAGCAAACAGG
rnacentral:rRNA from 1 species